AGCGAACGCUGGCGGCGUACUUAACACAUGCAAGUCGAACGGGGAUCAUCGGGUUAGCAAUAACUCGGUGGUCCUAGUGGCGCACGGGUGAGUAACACGUGGGUAACCUGCCCUGGAGACCGGGAUACCCCCUCGGAAAGGGGGCGUAAUACCGGAUACGUUCCCUGGAUCGAGAGGUCGUGGGGAGGAAAGGUGGCGAAAGCUGCCGCUCUUGGAGGGGCUCGCGGCCUAUCAGCUAGUUGGCGGGGUAACCGGCCCACCAAGGCUAUGACGGGUAGCUGGUCUGAGAGGACGACCAGCCACACGGGGACUGAGACA
rnacentral:rRNA from 1 species